AAGAUGAGUUUGCGGACCAUUAGCUGGUUGGUGGGGUAAAGGCCUACCAAGGCGAUGAUGGUUAGCUGGUCUGAGAGGAUGAUCAGCCACACUGGAACUGAAACACGGUCCAGACUCCUACGGGAGGCAGCAGUGAGGAAUUUUGCGCAAUGGGGGCAACCCUGACGCAGCAACGCCGCGUGAGUGAAGAAGGCCUUUGGGUCGUAAAGCUCUGUCAACCGGGAAGAAGUUAUGGGAGUCGAACAGGCUUUCAUAUUGACGGUACCGGUGAAGGAAGCAUCGGCUAACUCCGUGCCAGCAGCCGCGGUAAUACGGGGGAUGCAAGCGUUAUUCGGAAUUAUUGGGCGUAAAGGGCGCGUAGGCGGUUUUGUCGGUCAGAUGUGAAAGCCCGGGGCUCAACCCCGGACGUGCAUUUGAAACAGCAAGACUUGAGUACGGGAGAGGAAAGCGGAAUUCCUGGUGUAGAGGUGAAAUUCGUAGAUAUCAGGAGGAACACCGAUGGCGAAGGCAGCUUUCUGGACCGAUACUGACGCUGAGGCGCGAAGGCGUGGGUAGCGAACAGGAUUAGAUACCCUGGUAGUCCACGCAGUAAACGAUUGUCACUCGGUGUAGCGGAUAUUAAAAUCUGCUGCGCCCAAGCUAACGCAUUAA
rnacentral:rRNA from 1 species